GAUGAAGAACGUAGCAAAAUGCGAUACUUGGUGUGAAUUGCAGAAUCCCGCGAAUCAUCGAGUUUUUGAACGCAAGUUGCGCCCGAAGCCAUUCGGCCGAGGGCACGUCUGCCUGGGUGUCACGCAUCGUUGCCCCCCCAAACUCCGGUUCGGGCGGGGCGGAAGUUGGCCUCCCGUGUGUGCCUGCGCGCGCGGUUAGCCCAAAAGCGAGUCCUCGGCGACGAGCGCCACGACAAUCGGUGGUUUUUUUACCCUCGUUCCUCGUCGUGCGUGUCCCGUCGCCCGAACGCGCUCUUGUGACCCUCACGCGUCGCCUCGGCGGCGCUCCCAACGCGACCCCAGGUCAGGCGGGACUACCCGCUGAGUUUAAGCAUAUCAAUAAGCGGAGGA
rnacentral:misc_RNA from 1 species